UGUACUAAUCUUGAGUCAGUUUCUAUCUGUGAUGGACUCUCGGGAGGGAUGGCCAACCAAACAAGAGCAGACAAUUGCCUGAAUUAGGAUACAGGGUAUACACAGUACCAGUGGAGCAACAUUGGAAAAAAUAAGAACUCCAUCUCUCAAUCAUCAAGAAGAGUCUAGGAGGGGGAGCCAACCAUGGUAAAGAGGAAUUGAUGACAGCUGUACCUCACUACCCUUAGGACCCUUAGGUUAAGAAGUCAGUGCAUCACUUGCCAGCAAGGAUAGACUUUGGCCAACCCAAAAGGUUACCAAAUGGAUGUAGAGAAGCAAGGCCAAUCAGAAGCACUAAGACUACUCGACAGCUAGAGAGCCCGGAAAGGUUAGGUUACCAGACAUUAGGUGAGCUGUAUUCCUAAUUAACAUAAGUAAUCCUGGAGGUGCUAGGUAUAAAUUGUCCUGCAA